AGGUAGUUGGUGGGGUAACGGCCUACCAAGCCGAUGAUCCGUAGGGGGCGUGAGAGCGUGGCCCCCCACACUGGCACUGAGACACGGGCCAGACUCCUACGGGAGGCAGCAGUGAGGAAUAUUGCACAAUGGGCGCAAGCCUGAUGCAGCAACGCCGCGUGAGGGACGAAGGCCUUCGGGUUGUAAACCUCUUUUCUGAGGGACGAGGAAGGACGGUACCUCAGGAAUAAGUCUCGGCUAACUACGUGCCAGCAGCCGCGGUAAAACGUAGGAGGCGAGCGUUAUCCGGAUUUACUGGGCGUAAAGCGCGCGCAGGUGGCUUCGUGAGUCGGACAUGAAAGCUCCUGGCUUAACUGGGAGAGGCUGUUCGAUACUGCGGGGCUUGAGGUUGGGAGAGGGACGCGGAAUUCCCGGUGUAGUGGUGGAAUGCGUAGAUAUCGGGAGGAACACCAGUGGCGCAAGCGGCGUCCUGGCCCACACCUGACGCUGAGGUGCGAAAGCGUGGGUAGCAAACAGGAUUAGAUACCCUGGUAGUCCACGCUGUAAACGAUGUCAACUGGGUGUCGGUAGUUUUACACUAUCGGUGCCGAAGCUAACGCG
rnacentral:rRNA from 1 species